rnacentral:rRNA from 1 species
GUAGGUGGCAAGCGUUGUCCGGAAUUAUUGGGCGUAAAGCGCGCGCAGGCGGUUCUUUAAGUCUGAUGUGAAAGCCCACGGGCUCGACCGUGGAGGGUCAUUGGAAACUGGAGAACUUGAGUACAGAAGAGGAAAGCGGAAUUCCACGUGUAGCGGUGAAAUGCGUAGAGAUGUGGAGGAACACCAGUGGCGAAGGCGGCUUUCUGGUCUGUAACUGACGCUGAGGCGCGAAAGCGUGGGGAGCAAACAGGAUUAGAUACCCUGGUAGUCCACGCCGUAAACGAUGAGUGCUAAGUGUUAGGGGGUUUCCGCCCCUUAGUGCUGCAGCUAACGCAUUAAGCACUCCGCCUGGGGAGUACGGCCGCAAAGGCUG